AGCACUCUAGACGGAACUGCCGUUGGACAAACGGAGGAAGGUGGGAUGACGUCAAAUCAUCAUGCCCCUUAUGUUCUGGGCUACACACGUGCUACAAUGGCCGGUACAGACGGACGCAAAGCCGCGAGGUGGAGCAAAUCCUAAAAAGCCGGUCUCAGUUCGGAUUGCAGGCUGCAAUUCGCCUGCAUGAAGUCGGAAUCGCUAGUAAUCGCGGAUCAGCAUGCCGCGGUGAAUACGUUCCCGGGCCUU
rnacentral:rRNA from 1 species